CCUGCAUCCUGUCUCAGAAUCAACAUCACUGCUGCCGUGAUGGACUGCACUCUCAGACUAAUUGACAGAGUUUUUCUUGAUUGAAGUCAGUUUGGGCUGCUGGCAAGAAUUGGGGACAAUGAAUACAACAACAGAUGUGAUCAAAGGCCAUCUCUUUACCUCACUCCUCCAAGCAAAUGUUAAGUAUGGUCUAAAAGGAUUUCAGUUUUUCGUGAUGAGAACACCUGAUGACUGAAGCAAUUCUGACCUUGGAGACAGGAACCUGUCACAGAGUUCUUCAUACUUCCAAAGGACCAGGGAGCGAGCAUACACACAGAUCAGAAACAAGACUGCACAGUACUAUUCAAAGUCUGUCCCUGGUGUUCCCUCUCAAACAGCUAGAUCCCUCAUUUUGAAUCUCAAGAGCUCCUGUGGCAGAAAUGGACAGGCAAUCCACUGUCAUUUUCAUCUCAUUAUUGAAAAGGUGACUGGAUGGAGGCUCAGGGAGAAGAUAACUUCAGGUGUAACCCCUUCAUAAGAAUGUUACCAAAACAAAUAUAAUGGAAUU